rnacentral:rRNA from 1 species
UUUCUAACGCACUAAGGUAGUAUCAUAAAGAAAAACCCACACAACUUGGCGGUUAAAGUAGCCUAGAGGAACUCGCCCCAUAAUCGACAAUCCCCGAUAAUUUUCACUUGCCACUACAUAGUCUAUAUACCGCCGUUUCAGAAAUAAUUCUGAAAUUAAACUCAAAAUAGAGAACACAAAAAAAUCAGGUCAAGGUGUAGCUUAUAGGUAAGAGGAGGUAAGUUACAUAUAAAAAUCAUUUAAGGAAAUUAAAUAAACAAUUCAAUAGAAAUAGAAUCUAUAAGCACAGACGAGCCAAUAACUCAUCUAGAAAUCAACCACUUUAAUGC